rnacentral:rRNA from 1 species
GACAGAGGGUGCAAACGUUGUUCGGAAUUACUGGGCGUAAAGCGCACGUAGGCGGCUUUGUAAGUUAGAGGUGAAAGCCCGGGGCUCAACUCCGGAAUUGCCUUUAAGACUGCAUCGCUAGAAUUGUGGAGAGGUAAGUGGAAUUCCGAGUGUAGAGGUGAAAUUCGUAGAUAUUCGGAAGAACACCAGUGGCGAAGGCGACUCACUGGACACGUAUUGACGCUGAGGUGCGAAAGCGUGGGGAGCAAACAGG